AAUGAACGUUGGCGGCGUGGAUUAGGCAUGCAAGUCGCGCGAGAACCCGCAAGGGGGACAGCGGCGAAAGGGACAGUAAUGUGUAGAUUAUCUGCCCUCAGGUCCGGGAUAGCUGCGGGAAACUGCAGGUAAUACCGGAUAACAUCUCCGGAUCAAAGGUGUGAUUCCGCCUGGGGAUGAGUCUACAUCCUAUUAGCUAGUUGGUAGGGUAAUGGCCUACCAAGGCUGUGAUGGGUAGCGGGUGUGAGAGCACGACCCGCGUCAUUGGGACUGAGACACUGCCCAGACACCUACGGGUGGCUGCAGUCGAGAAUCUUCGGCAAUGGGCGCAAGCCUGACCGAGCGACGCCGCGUGUGGGUUGAAGGCCUUCGGGUUGUAAACCACUGUCAGAGGGGAUGAAAUGCGGGUGGGUUCUCCCAUUCGUUUGACAUAGCCUCAGAGGAAGGACGGGCUAAGUUCGUGCCAGCCGCCGCCGUAAGAC
rnacentral:rRNA from 1 species